GACAGAGGGGGCAAGCGUUGCUCGGAAUCACUGGGCGUAAAGGGCGCGUAGGCGGGAUGGCAAGUCGGUCGUGAAAUCCUUCGGCUCAACCGAAGAACGUCGGCCGAUACUGCCGUUCUUGAGGGAUGCAGAGGAGAUUGGAAUUCCCGGUGUAGCGGUGAAAUGCGCAGAUAUCAGGAGGAACACCGGUGGCGAAGGCGCCACUCUGGGCCGGUACUGACGCUGAGGAGCGAAAGCGUGGGUAGCAAACAGG
rnacentral:rRNA from 1 species